rnacentral:rRNA from 1 species
UACGGAGGAUCCGAGCGUUAUCCGGAUUUAUUGGGUUUAAAGGGUGCGCAGGCGGGGGAUUAAGUCGGCGGUGAAAUUUUGCAGCUCAACUGUAAAAGUGCCUUCGAAACUGGUUUCCUUGAGUGUAGAUGAAGUAGGCGGAAUUUGUGGUGUAGCGGUGAAAUGCAUAGAUAUCACGAGGAACUCCGAUUGCGCAGGCAGCUUACUAAACUACUACUGACGCACAGGCACGAAGGCGUGGGGAUCAAACAGGAUUAGAUACCCUGGUAGU